GAUGAACGCUGGCGGCGUGCUUAACACAUGCAAGUCGAACGAAGCACUUUAUUUGAUUUCCUUCGGGACUGAUUAUUUUGUGACUGAGUGGCGGACGGGUGAGUAACGCGUGGGUAACCUGCCUUGUACAGGGGGAUAACAGUUGGAAACGGCUGCUAAUACCGCAUAAGCGCACGGCAUCGCAUGAUGCAGUGUGAAAAACUCCGGUGGUAUAAGAUGGACCCGCGUUGGAUUAGCUAGUUGGUGAGGUAACGGCCCACCAAGGCGACGAUCCAUAGCCGACCUGAGAGGGUGACCGGCCACAUUGGGACUGAGACACGGCCCGAACUCCUACGGGAGGCAGCAGUGGGGAAUAUUGCACAAUGGGCGAAAGCCUGAUGCAGCGACGCCGCGUGAGCGAAGAAGUAUGUCGGUAUGUAAAGCUCUAUCAGCAGGGAAGAUAAUGACGGUACCUGACUAAGAAGCACCGGCUAAAUACGUG
rnacentral:rRNA from 1 species